GAGCACACUCUGGUGCCCUCAUCUGGCUUUGUAAGCUGUGCAGAAGUUCUUUAGCAUCUUCUCUCUUCUUCAAAGAGCCAGCAAAACCAGCCAGUUCCAGCCUGAAUGCUUUCUUUGGCAAUGGAGCCUCAUGGUGGAAAGGGCUGCAUGUGCGUGUGCAGCUGGCUAAGAAAAGAUAUUGAGAAGCUCUGAAGACUUGGAGAAAUUUUUAUCAAAAGGUCAUGUCUUUUCAGAGAACUUGAUCAUCUAUUUUAAAGAAAUCUAUGUGGGAAAAAAAAAAGUUUGUUUAAUUUUUAGUUUUAUUAUAAACUAAUGCUUUUCUGAGGAAAGUAGAUUUUCUUCUAUAAAAAUUAAUAGCUUUCUGUAGCACUUCAACAAUGAAAGGAGAAAUAUCUUAAUUACUUCUAGAUUUGCACUGCAGUCUUAGAAGAGAAUAAAAUUAGAUUCCAAGCAUAUUUUACUAUUUUUCAUGUAACUUCAUAUGCUCCCAGAUGCUUGCCAAUUCUAUUCAGUUUAGAAGGACCAUUUGAAUGAAUCAAGUUGUUUGCUAAGGCUGCAACCUGGGAACUGAUCCAAAACAAGGAGGUGGUCCAAACACUCCUGAACUUUCUGGCAAGACUAAUUUCAAAACUUUCUGGAAUCAAGGGUAUGACCUGGCAGCUGAUGGGAAUAGCAAGUGAGCAUUCAGCAGCAAGCUCUUCAAACACCUCAGGUACAGCUUUACUGCCAACUCUUUUUAUUAAUUUCAGAGCUAUGAUACUUUCAAAAAGCAAGGGAACAUACAUGGAUUUAAAAUGCUGAAAGGUAACAUUGAAAAAAAUUAUUUCUUCCCAACCCCCUACUGCAGCUUCACGGACAGGCAGAACAUGGGGGGCAUCUGCACAGGCUUCAGUAGCAUCCUCAGAAUAUAAAGACCCCCAGUCUGAACUGUGCCAGCGCUGCCUUGAGGGUAGUCCAAGGAGAUGGGUUAGAAAUGGAGUUGCACUGCUUUUCUGCUCCUGGUUUCUGGAAAUCAGUCAGACCUUGGCAUACUUGAAAGCAAUUAGGGAAAACAAAGCAAAACAAAAAGCAGGUCAAUGUAACAUUGCUGAGAGCCUGGCACCGGCCAUUUAUUGUCUGAAUUAACCUUUCACACCAUUUUUUGAUAAAGUUGCUGUUGCCCUACUAAGACAGCAUAAUUUUUUCUCUUCUCUGUGAGGAGCAUCUGGUACCAAAUGUUUGCUGAGGCCAAGCCAAAAACAAAGAGAAGAGAAAACAAGAAUGUUUUCCUGGAGGGCAAGUGUGAUUAUCCAGCUACUAGUUGUACAAUUUAAAAUCAGGACAUAAUGUAUUUCGUGUUUUGCAAAAAGUCUGAGAAGCUGAAACUCCAGGAAAGCAGCAUUUUUAACACUUCACCGCUGGAUGGAGACAGCGCUCUAAAACAUGUAAGUAAUUGCUAAUGGGACUGUAAUGAAAUCCCAUGCGAUAAAGAGGUUGGAUGUAUUAGUAAACACUGCAGCAACAAACAGUGGAACAACAGCUAGAUUUACGGCAGAAAAUGUAUUGAAAGAACAUCCUUUAGAUUUGUGUUUGACCUAUUUUUAUGGUGAGAAAAUGAGAAAUUUAGUUUAAAAAAAAAUUAAUUCCAGUUCUCUCUGCAUACACACAAAGCUGCAAUGACACAGACAGGCAAGAGACAAGGGAAGAUAGAAACUUUCUAGGAUCCUCUUUAUCUUUUUCCAGGUCACAGUAUAUUUUUCCUGACAGAGGGCUUGAUACUGCUGGUACCAGCUGAGGUUCCUCCAGCAAUGGUUGCAGUGGAUGUCUGGUUUGCAGAGGAGAUGCUUCCCUUGCUCAAGGACCAUAAGGAGGAAGUCACUGGGUGGGAAGCAGCAGCAGAAACAAUUUCCACCCAACCUGCAGGCUGGUAGGAAGAUCUUCAGAGAUCACUGCAUUCUCAGGGAUGAGAGUACAGAUUGGGGACAUCCUGCCCUAUCGGGGUUAAUUUCUCUCCUCACAUAUGUUAAGGUGGUUUUGCACAUUUUCUUCCAUCUUUGCGUGUGUGUGUGUGUAGGAGACAGAGGGAAGGAGGGAAAGUCUGUGGUGGUUUUUAGCCCAGUGUCUCACAUAAUCACACUAUGCUUUUCUGUUUCCAGAAAUAACUUUUGAAUUUAUUGGAUGAAUUAAAGAUGAAUUAAAUGAAUUCAAAAAUAA